UACGUAGGUGACCAGCGUUGUCCGGAUUUACUGGGCGUAAAGAGCGCGCAGGCGGUCGUUCAAGUCGAGUGUGAAAGCCCCCGGCUCAACUGGGGAGGGUCACUCGAUACUGAUCGACUUGAAGGCAGGAGAGGGAAGCGGAAUUCCCGGUGUAGUGGUGAAAUGCUUAGAUAUUACAUGGAAUACCAAUUGCGAAGGCAGGUUACUACCAGUGGAUUGACGCUGAUGGACGAAAGCGUGGGGAGCGAACAGG
rnacentral:rRNA from 1 species